rnacentral:lncRNA from 1 species
GGGUGGAAUGUAGAUGGAAGGAGAUGCCGGAGGGAAAGUCUAGAGGCGAAGGAAGGUGCUGGAGGAAGAAGAAGAUCAGUGCGCUAAAGAAGGAAGACGUGAGCUCGUGAAGAAGAGUACGGGAUGUGCUGGUAUUUAAAGGUGGUCUGAGAAGGGGUAAAAGCGGAAUUUUUACCGCGCCGGCGUUUCGAUUUUUUCGGGAGGAGUGGUUGUCGUGGGCACCCGUUUCAAAAAGAUUGCAAUCAUCAGGCUGGAGACCGCGAAACGGAAGGAUAUUUUCAAUGCGUUUGUUUCGGAAAGGAAGUUGAAAAGAAUUUCGAAGUAAAGAUUAUGUUUUACUCCGAAACUGGGGGGCAUGUGUUGACGCCAGAUUUUGACACGUAUGAAAUCGGCGUCAAGAAAGGAAGAAAUCAGGAGAUGCGGCAAGACACAGAGGUCAUGAUUGGGAAUCGGCCGAUUGGUGCUACAGUUGAGGAUUGGCCGAUUGAUGCUGCAGUAUUUCGGCGGAUGGAGUUGGUGGAAAUGGCCAAUUGGGCCAGUAUGGGCUUAAAAUGAACUAUGAAGAUAAAGAGGAAGUCGGCCCAUGGGAGCGCGAUGAUCAACUCCAAUACGAAUCACACUUGUAAAUAUUUGUUUUCGUUUAGAAUUAGAGAUAGAGUCCUAGUCGGUUAAGAAAUUAGUUGUAACAGGCUAUAAAUAGCCGCCUCCAUAGAUCUGUAAU